UACGAAGGGGGCUAGCGUUGCUCGGAAUCACUGGGCGUAAAGGGUGCGUAGGCGGGUCUUUAAGUCAGGGGUGAAAUCCUGGAGCUCAACUCCAGAACUGCCUUUGAUACUGAAGAUCUUGAGUUCGGGAGAGGUGAGUGGAACUGCGAGUGUAGAGGUGAAAUUCGUAGAUAUUCGCAAGAACACCAGUGGCGAAGGCGGCUCACUGGCCCGAUACUGACGCUGAGGCACGAAAGCGUGGGGGAGCGAACAGG
rnacentral:rRNA from 1 species